GUGCCCGCCGUGCCGGGUAGGCGGCGGGGGGCGCGGCCACCGAGGUUGAAGGGUAGGCAGCAGAUGUUGCAGUCCAGCUCGUCCCUCUCUGGAAGAGAAGGUACCUUCACCAGGAGCUGCAUCGUGCCCGCCGUAGCUAAGGCGGCCAACUUCGUGGACAGAACGAAAGGGCACUCCUGCGGCCCAGGUAAACAGGACGUAGUACUCACAACCCAUAUGCUCUCAAGGUGCGACACCCACACCCAGUCUUCCAAAAUGAGUGGGAGAUGAUUGGGCAGAUGAGCCCGUCUAUCUCCAUCACCAUUUGCGGCGUCAGCUGGCUCAAUACCUAGAGCAGGAAAGGUGGUGGACAGAACAGGCCCUACUGAGUCACUGAGAAAGGCCUGGAGUUCGACGGCCCAGGGGAGCACCACAGUUAGGGGUGGAAAGAAAGAAUCGCAGAUGUGCUUACUGCCUGGCCUUGUGGCCUGGGCCUUUCUCAGGCAAAGAAAGGACUCUGUCAAGGCUGACUUCAAGGCCAUCCUGAGACAGCACAGCAUUUACACCUGGGGAAGGGGGCAGGGAUGGGCUUUACCUCUGAGUCCCCAGCUUACCUGUAGGGCGCCCAAGUGUUCCAUCAGCUGCUCUGCACUUGACACCCCCAGCAAGACCGAGCUGACACCCUCACUGCGGAGACACCAUGCUGGAACCGGAAGAGGGAAGAAAGAAAAGGGGAAAAAAUAAAAAGAACUCAUGGGGAGCAGUGAGCACACAGACCUCAGAAGUAUCUCUGAAGAACAGAGUUCUCUCCAGGGACAGUCUUGGAUAGGUUUGGGAAGUCUCGAAGUGAGACAGGACCUUUGAAGUGUCCAGAACUA